rnacentral:rRNA from 1 species
ACCAGCGGAGGGAUCAUUACUGAGUUUACGCUCUAUAACCCUUUGUGAACAUACCUAUAACUGUUGCUUCGGCGGGUAGGGUCUCCGUGACCCUCCCGGCCUCCCGCCCCCGGGCGGGUCGGCGCCCGCCGGAGGAUAACCAAACUCUGAUUUAACGACGUUUCUUCUGAGUGGUACAAGCAAAUAAUCAAAACUUUUAACAACGGAUCUCUUGGUUCUGGCAUCGAUGAAGAACGCAGCGAAAUGCGAUAAGUAAUGUGAAUUGCAGAAUUCAGUGAAUCAUCGAAUCUUUGAACGCACAUUGCGCCCGCCAGCAUUCUGGCGGGCAUGCCUGUUCGAGCGUCAUUUCAACCCUCAAGCUCUGCUUGGUGUUGGGGCCCUACAGCUGAUGUAGGCCCUCAAAGGUAGUGGCGGACCCUCCCGGAGCCUCCUUUGCGUAGUAACUUUACGUCUCGCACUGGGAUCCGGAGGGACUCUUGCCGUAAAACCCCCAAUUUUCCAAAGGUUGACCUCGGAUCAUGU